rnacentral:rRNA from 1 species
UUUUAUGAGAUGUGUAAAACAGUUUCCGUAGGUGAACCUGCGGAAGGAUCAUUGUCGA